UUCUCUUUCUCACUCUCUGUCUUAGAUUUGCGAAUGUCGUGACUCUUUGUUUCUCACGAUUAGAUAUGCUACCAACCCUCACGUUUUUCCCCCCUCGCAUUCUCGCUCCACCAGCCCCUAAUGGAAGAAGCAUAGCCCCAACCCAGACUCCUCUGUCGUGAGACGUUGACGCUUCUCAUGGGAUGCCCUGACCUGGAGGAAACUAAAAACGAGGAUCCGAAGUUAAUGGGGACACUAGAUGAAGGGACAACUAUCAUUUGCCCCAUCUACAUCGUAAACAUCUCCUCCAUGAACCCUUUGCCUCAUCUCAGCAUGAAAGGCACUCCCAUCGAAUUUUGUUUCAGGACAUAACCACGCUACUUCUUGAUACAAAGGCUUUCAAAGAAACCAUUGACUUGUUUGUUGAGAGGCAUAGAGAUCAAAACAUCAAUGUUGUCGUACUACAAUCUUCCUGCUUACUACAAACGUGAAAUGGAAAAAGAGAUGAAAAAAGGUUUUAAGAAGGUCCAGGCAACAGAGCGCACUAUUUUCAAUGAUGAAGAACAACACAUAUUAUUCUUUGGAAAGUUUCCCCUCACCACAACAAAUCUUCAACUCAUCAAGAAAACCAAAGAUAAUUUUCAAGUAAACUUAUUGGACAUGAAGGUUAACCUGUAUCUGUCUUUGAUGACAGGAGCUAUUCUUAAGUUUGACUAAGUUGUGUUGAGAUUUGUUGUUGCUCGCACCUUCAGCAAGAUAUGAAGCUUUACCAUGAAGACUGCAUGCAGUAAGCAUGAGAUCAUCAUCCAGACAAAUCCAUAGAACUCUUCAAUAAUGGAAUCUGGAAGUGUUCGUGCUCCUCUUGAUGAAGAGUUAAUUCUAAAGGAAUGAUGGGCUAUGGGAAAACCAUGGUGGGGAAGAUAAUGUCGCAAGUAAGCAGGUUAUUCAUUUUGUGAUAGGUUAGUAUGUUAAUUAUUUGUAAGAAUUUUAAAGUGGACUCUAGACUCAAUUACCAAGCAGUUGUUAAUUCCUGCACCUCCAAGUUGCUUCCCGCACCCUGUCUAGAAUGUUUAUUUUACAUUUUGAAUUGGUCAUUCUCGAAGCCAUUAAGGAGGUGUAGGAAGCAACUUGGUAGGUGCAAGAAGUAAUAGCCUUUUGAAAUAAGGAGGACAGUUGGAAAGCAUUAUGAUUUUAUUUGUUAUACUCUUUAGUUAAUGUUUAGUUGUUUUUAACUUUUUGAUUCUCCUGUUUCUUUAAUCUCAUCUAGCAUCCUCAUUGUCAUCUA